rnacentral:pre_miRNA from 1 species
UGGCUGAGAGGCACGCGCGGCAGGGAGGGGAGGGGCGUACGCAGAGCCGCUGUAGUCUCGCGCGGCGGUUGCGAGCGCGUGAGGGACCUGUGCUG